AGAGAGCUUACAAUGAUCAUCUACUAAAUAGAUUUGGUAUGCACUAAAAACCUCGAGAUAUACCUAUGGUCAAGAAACAUAAAUUCAAUAGAAGCUAGUAUCCUAAAGUGAUGUCUAAAUAGAAUUCAUAUAGAAUGUACCUUAUUUUAGUACUAUGGGUAGUUUAAUGUAUGCACAAAGCUACAUGCAUUACUAGACUGGAUAUAGUGUAUACUGUCAGUGCUCUUAAUAGAUUUCCGGCAAAUCCAAGUAUGGA
rnacentral:lncRNA from 1 species